AGCGUUGUGUGAAUUGUUGUGGAGGUAGAGCACUGAAUCUAUGAUGGCUGCACCUAGCGGUACUGAUUAGAAUUAAACUCCGAAUGCCAUAAUUUGUGCACAGCAGUCAGAACAUGGGUGAUAAGGUCCAUGCUCGUGAGGGAAACAGCCCAGAUCGUCAGCUAAGGUCCCUAAGUGUAAACUAAGUGUGUAAGGAUGUGGAACUGCACAGACAGCUAGGAUGUUGGCUUAGAAGCAGCCAUCAUUUAAAGAGUG
rnacentral:rRNA from 1 species